GAGGAGGACCCGUACGGGCACUUUUGAAGUGGAUGGUGACACGUGAAACUCUGACCACCUAGCAAUAGGGAACGUUUUUGUCUUAGGAGUGUUUGGAUGAGGAUCGAGACCUAAUCUUCGGAGGGUACUCAUCUUGCAGUGCCAUGGCGAUGUCGUUAUGAUCACAUGAUCGUUAUUUAUUUGUCUAAAUCUGCAUGUGCAGCUAAUUAUAAUUUGCAAAAGGACCUAGCAGUUUUGGAGAUUUGACUCUUGAUCACGUCAUUUGCAUCAACCGCCCGAGUGGCAUUUGAAAACUACGAUCCGAUCAAAACCCAAUCUAUACGCACAGAAGCUGGAGCUUCACAGCGGGGUGAAACAGUUCCCUACAUGAUCUCCUUCCAUAUAUAUGGAUCACGUACCUUAUUGUUGGAAUGCUGCCCGUCUGGGAACUUACACUUUCAGGUAUGAUUUCAGGAUAUUAAUGGCUAUCGUAUGGAACUGUUGGUCAAUGUUUCUGCGAGCUCAACGCUAACCUGUUUGGGUCCCGAGGAAUGACCAAAGCUGCCUUCCCGCGACGUCACCUCUUCCCAAAUCUGUAACGAUAAUUCUCACAUUUGGUUGGUUGUACAUCUUAUGUAAUGCCACUUAAUCAGAGAAAAAACCAGAACAGGACUGUAGGUUAAAGAAAAAUAAGAAUUCUUCAAGCAUCCACUCAUUAAAGAAGUCUAGAAAUACAACGGCACACCGAUCUGAAGAGUUUUUAUUAGAGAAGACUGCCCUUUUCAAGGAUUACCCCUUUUUGAGCAGUAGCAGUAGCAGCAGCACAGUGGUUAUACAUAGUAAUAGUAGUAGUAGCUUAUAAUAGUCCAAGGUGUUUCUGCCGACUCCUUGCACAAUCUAUUCGGUCCUCGAUCACAGUGGUUACGUAGCUUUAAUUGCCUUCACAUGCCCACUGUCCCCAAUAUGAAAUGGAAAUGCUCCAUCCCCUCAUGUACACAGCUGGUGUCAAUAUCAUGUAGAAAAUU